AUGAACGCUAGCUACAGGCUUAACACAUGCAAGUCGAGGGGCAGCAUGAACUUAGCUUGCUAAGUUUGAUGGCGACCGGCGCACGGGUGAGUAACACGUAUCCAACCUGCCGAUGACUCGGGGAUAGCCUUUCGAAAGAAAGAUUAAUACCCGAUGGCAUAGUUCUUCCGCAUGGUAGAACUAUUAAAGAAUUUCGGUCAUCGAUGGGGAUGCGUUCCAUUAGGUUGUUGGCGGGGUAACGGCCCACCAAGCCUUCGAUGGAUAGGGGUUCUGAGAGGAAGGUCCCCCACAUUGGAACUGAGACACGGUCCAAACUCCUACGGGAGGCAGCAGUGAGGAAUAUUGGUCAAUGGACGAGAGUCUGAACCAGCCAAGUAGCGUGAAGGAUGACUGCCCUAUGGGUUGUAAACUUCUUUUAUACGGGAAUAAAGUGAGGCACGUGUGCCUUUUUGUAUGUACCGUAUGAAUAAGGAUCGGCUAACUCCGUGCCAGCAGCCGCGGUAAUACGGAGGAUCCGAGCGUUAUCCGGAUUUAUUGGGUUUAAAGGGAGCGUAGGCGGACGCUUAAGUCAGUUGUGAAAGUUUGCGGCUCAACCGUAAAAUUGCAGUUGAUACUGGGUGUCUUGAGUACAGUAGAGGCAGGCGGAAUUCGUGGUGUAGCGGUGAAAUGCUUAGAUAUCACGAAGAACUCCGAUUGCGAAGGCAGCCUGCUGGACUGUAACUGACGCUGAUGCUCGAAAGUGUGGGUAUCAAACAGGAUUAGAUACCCUGGUAGUCCACACAGUAAACGAUGAAUACUCGCUGUUUGCGAUAUACAGUAAGCGGCCAAGCGAAAGCGUUAAGUAUUCCACCUGGGGAGUACGCCGGCAACGGUGAAACUCAAAGGAAUUGACGGGGGCCCGCACAAGCGGAGGAACAUGUGGUUUAAUUCGAUGAUACGCGAGGAACCUUACCCGGGCUUGAAUUGCAACUGAAUGAUGUGGAGACAUGUCAGCCGCAAGGCAGUUGUGAAGGUGCUGCAUGGUUGUCGUCAGCUCGUGUCGUGAGAUGUUGGGUUAAGUCCCGCAACGAGCGCAACCCUUAUGGUCAGUUACUACGCAAGAGGACUCUGGCCAGACUGCCGUUGACAAAACGGAGGAAGGUGGGGAUGACGUCAAAUCAUCAUGCCCUUUAUGACUUGGGCUACACACGUACUACAAUGGCGUUUAACAAAGAGAAGCAAGACCGCGAGGUGGAGCAAAACUCAAAAACAACGUCUCAGUUCAGAUUGCAGGCUGCAACUCGCCUGCAUGAAGUCGGAAUUGCUAGUAAUCGCGGAUCAGCAUGCCGCGGUGAAUACGUUCCCGGGCCUUGUACACACCGCCCGUCACACCAUGAGAGUUGGGGAUACCCGAAGCCUGUGAGCCAACAGUUAAAUGGGGCAGCAGUCGAAGGUAGAAUCAAUGAUUGGGGUG
rnacentral:rRNA from 1 species